AAAUAAUACCCCACAGAUUUUACAAUUUAUCCAGGAAGUUAUCCAGCAUGGGGAUGCCCUCUUUCAGCCCUUUGCAUUUCCGUGUCUCACUGACCACUUGAGAAGGACAGCUGGCGCUGUCAAAGGGAUCCCUAGGGAGAAUCUGCCAGUGAUCCGAACACACACUAU